rnacentral:tRNA from 54 species
GCGGGGUGGAGCAGCCUGGUAGCUCGUCGGGCUCAUAACCCGAAGGUCGUCGGUUCAAAUCCGGCCCCCGCAACCA